rnacentral:misc_RNA from 1 species
AACGCAUAUUGCACUCUCUGGUAUUCCGGGGAGGAUUCCGGGGAGUAUGCCUGUUUCAGUAUCAUUGAUCACGUUCAUUCCAUAAUGGAGUUGGACUCUUGCCUUUCAAAGAAAGGCUGGUCCCAAAAAAUUGUCGGCAAUCAGGGAGAGAAUUGUCAAAGCGUAAUGGUUGAUCCUUGAAAGGAUUGUCUUUCGCUUUAUUUCUCUUUUUUCUUGCGGAAAAGUCAUACGUUUGUUUACAUCCAAAGAUGCAGAUAGAUGUACAUUUCACCUUGAUCUGAAAUCAGGUAGGGUUACCCGCUGAACUUAA